rnacentral:rRNA from 1 species
UGGGGAAUAUUGCACAAUGGAGGGAACUCUGAUGCAGCGACGCCGCGUGAGUGAUGAAGGACUUCGUUUCGUAAAACUCUGUUCUAUGGGAAGAAAAGGACUGUACCAUAGGAGAAAGCUCCGGCUAAAUACGUGCCAGCAGCCGCGGUAAUACGUAUGGAGCGAGCGUUGUCCGGAAUUAUUGGGCGUAAAGGGUGCGCAGGCGGCUUUACAAGUUGGAUGUGAAAUAUUGUGGCUCAACCACAAACGUGCAUCCAAAACUGCAAAGCUUGAGUUAAGGAGAGGUAAGUGGAAUUCCUGGUGUAGCGGUGGAAUGCGUAGAUAUCAGGAGGAAAACCGGUGGCGAGGGCGCCUUACUGGACUAAAACAGACGCUCAGGGACGAAAGCGUGGGGAGCAAACAGG